GCACUAGAGAAGGCCAUGAUCAGAGUUCCAAUGGCGUACAGGGUUCUGGAGGGUAGGAGAAAGGUUUAUAAUGUAUUUAUUCUGAUUGAAGCACAUUUGAUCUUGUUUGACCGGAUCAUAAUAACAAGAAGCCAGACCCUGAGCAUCCAUUAGAUGAGCGUUAUGUAUCUUAGGAAAACAAGUGAGCAAUUUGAACCGUUAAGGUAUUAUGUGUAGUUUAUAUAAACCGAUUUUCACAAUAUAUUGGUCCUUUUUUGUCAACACUUUAUCAACACUACUAUCACCCAGGGCCCUAAUGUGAAAUGUACCAUACCACAGUGACCACAUUACACAAUAACAAGCCUAUCUGUGUUUGACAUCUCUAUUUACACCACCUUUGAGCGUUCAUAAUAGAGAGAUUGGUACAAGAACUCACAUUCCCAGAAGUCUGGUUACCAUGGUACCGAAGCGAUCAAACAGGUAGCCAUUUGGCAGACUCAGAAAGGCGAUGAGGAACGAGGCGAUGGUAAAGACCAGAGAGAAGUGCUCAUCUUGCCCACUGCAGUCUAGAGAAGAGACAGCGAGAGAGAUGGAGAGAGAAAGAGAGAGAUGAACAGAAAGAGAGGGAGAGAGAGACAGAUUGACAGAGCCAAAGAGCAACAGAUAAUGCAUAAUGCAUUCUCCCAAAGAGCAGUUCUGCUAUCCAGCACAAACACAAGAGAGGCAAACCCAAACACCAAGCCGGCAAAACCGAGGCACUCUGCUAUCCCCGUGGCCAGAGUCAACCCGUAGAGAAUCUUGUUCCCUCCCCCGCAUCGUUGCAUGUUUCACUCUUCACCACCCGCCCGCUGGACCCACCAAGCAUUAGGCUAUAUCCAAAAGAAAAACUUCUACCAGCUCUGAAAUGUUCCUCCAACUCCGGAUUUCCAGAUCAACCUGGAACUUCUUCCCCACUACACUCAGAAGCUCCAGGUGGUUUUGUGGAAAAUGUGAGAAAUAAACGAAUAAAGACUUUGUAAGAUCAAAAUUCUUGUAAAACUUCUGACCCUUGGUAUUACGCUAUGUUUAUUUAAAAUAAAAUAAGUAGCCUAACUUAUUAAAAUAAAUAAAUACAUGAAUAAGACACUAAGUCCCGUCUGCAGCUCGGCUGAGGACGUUACCAUGAGUCUCAUAGUAUUAGAACAUGUUGUACUUAUUGAUUAGCCAACCACACACACACACACACACACACACACACACACACACACACACACACACACACACACACACACACACACACACACACACAACCUCUUGCAGGCAGACUCAGAAUCUUGACCCAUUUAUUAGGGAACAGGUGUUAUCGGGAUUCCAUCACUGCAUUCCCAGAAUCCUGCAUUGUGAAAGUCUUCCCUUUUUUUUUUAAAUGUACAAUGGCAUUUUAUUCUACAUACAAAACAACCAUAGUAUUUUUCAGGAGUCCACGACCACCCUGCCCGUUUUGACACACAAAAGUAAUUUGACACUUCUGGGAUGAGCCAAUGAUUCAUCUCUUUGGAAGGUUUUGUUGGAGACAAAUAAAGAAUCUUCAGGCAACAGAUGUGACAGCUGUGACUGCUCUCUCUCUCCUUCAUCUGCUGGGUCCUCUGUGUUUGCCUACCUGCUACAGGUACCCAGUGGGCGGGGCUGAGAGGCUUGUCAGCUGAUGAGGUGCACCUGUGCAGGUCUGCCACGCAGGCUUUAGCCAGUCUCUCUCUCUUUCCACAGAGGCAGGUGGGCUUGGGUUCUGUUUAGGGUGGUUCCUUAAGGUUUUGGACCUUUGGAUUGGUUCCAUGUUUUGUUUUAUGUUAACACUAUUCAACAUCCCCACAGCACACUUUCCACUGCCCAUAUACAUAGGCUAGCCGAAAGAAUUGUGUGUUUGGUCAGUAGUUCAGUUGGUUGGUCACAUAUGUUGGUUUGUUGCAUUUUGUUUGGGUAUUUCCAACAUGGUAAAGAUGGUUUGUUGUUCCCAGUAUUUGUUUUGUCUGUCUGGGUAAGUUUCCUCCGUUCUGGCUCGGUCGGUCCUUGUGAUUUUGGUUUUCUGUCCAAACCAUAUAAUCGCACAUUUUCUAAUCUUCCAUACGCUACACUAAUCCCUUUACAGAUUUCAUGAUACUUACUUUAUUCUAAUAAAUAACUUUAUCCCUUAUCAUGUUUGGAUCCCGAUCUUUGCUCUGACCCGAGCCUCGUCUUAAUGCAGCCAAGGAGAUGGAAGAGCGUUAUGAAUAUUAUUAGAUGAUUGUGUUGUACAAUGAAAGACAGUAAAGAUUCAAUAUGAAUGGCAAAAUAAGGAUGGGAUUUUAUUUGAACAAUAAAAUAUGUGUUGGGCAAAUUAUAGAGAGGCUGAGAUUAUAGAUUUCAUAUUCAAAAGGCGAAGGGGUGAAAAAAUGUAAGAAAUAUAUUUAAGAAAUAUAGGCCUACUCAAAGCCCAAAUCAUUGAUACCAUACCCUAUCCAAUAAUAAAGAUAGAUAUAAAUCCGUUAAAUCCUCGUACUCGUUUUGAACGUCUCACUCAUGGCCGAGUGUGUUCUUUUUGAUUAGCUCUUAAUUGAGAUCACCUGUCACGCACCCCUUAUUAAAGGUGAACACAAUGGGUUUGGUUUACUUUUUGCAUCGGCCUGUGUCAAUCGAGGUUGAGUUUAGUGAGGGUUGAACGUUUUCGAUCUAGAUUGCAGAUCACUAUUGUCACUUUAUACAAACUGAAAGUAUGCGUUGUUGCGUGUUUGUUUUUGUGGGCAUUUGACUGAACAGCCCAGACAAAUAUUUCUACCAACAUGGCACUUCAAAACAGACCACCGCAGUGAGUAAAAGUUAUUUUCCUUUAUUAAAUGUUGACGUUUUUUGGGCCGUCUCCUCGGACACAAGUCAUCAGUAUCCCUGCUCUUUGCACCUUGACAUGCAUGUCGCCGCUGUUUGUUAACCUAGCUUUGCUGAUUUGUAUCUUGUGAUGUGUGUGUGUGUGUGUGUGUUUUUCUUAACAGGUGUUAGAUGACUGACAAGAUCUAUGGGGGGGCCCCCUUUGGGCCCCCCCAUACCAACUUCAAAGGAAUCUAGUGCCAUGGGACUCUUCAAAACAUCCUCGGAAUACAUGUGUAUGAAUGGUCCACCGAAGGGUUGAUCUGGAAGCCACCACGGUCCACGCAGUAAUCUGCUGCGUGGGCCGUAGUGGCUUCCAGAGCCAUCUUUCGGUCUUGGUCAGGAUUUGUUAGUUGCCCUUCAAUGUAGCAGGCUACGGGUUUCUGAAGAAGCCUGCUUUACGUAGCAUUGGAGUACAAAUAUUGUGCAAAAUGCUCAUGUAAUUGCACUAGCACUAGUAACCUGUAGAUUAGCUUAGUUUAACGUCAUUCAGUGCUGUCUCUGUCAAAUGUGUGGCUUACUUUAAGUCCACAAGGCCCUCUGGUAAACCACGUUGGAACACCCCUGGACAAGGUGAUUAGUCACUGGGUGUGUGUUAAAGUUUUGUUCCAUUUUUCACUAGUUGGUUAAGGUUUGGUAGAAUUGUUUGGAUGCUAGCGACGUGAUGGCGUAUGUACAAGAGCCUACCGUGGCCAGGCCACAGUUGCGACGGCCAAACCCAGAUGGCCUAGUGUGAGUGCAACCUUGAUUGCAUUUGUAUACUGUUUACCAUUGGAUGUUUAUGCAAUUUGGCUUAAUUCAUCCGCAGUAAAGCUGCAUUUGACUAUUCCAGGUUCGUUUUGUACAGGCUUUCAAUUGACCAUGUUGACUAGUUUGUGUGAAUUUUUUUUAAUUUAUUUUUUACCCUUGCUUUCAAUCUAACGGUUGUGACCACUUAUGCAACUGGGCUGUGAACCUUGCAAUUCUAAUGCUUCAGCAUUUCCUUGUAGGCCAUUAGCUGACUUGUGUAUUGGAGCGAUGAUUUGGGUAUUUUAAGAUGCUUGAAAAGCUAAAAUAAAGCAAAAUGCGUGUCUGGUGUGCAAGAGCCAAUUUGUAGGCUUGCAGUAGUCGAGGAGUUGCCGUAGGUCGUAAGCCAUCUGGAGGUUGUGGCAAUGGAGGCUUGUGGUAGAUCUGCCAUCCAAGAAAGGUUAAUUCUUCUGAAGCAUGAUUAAUAGUUUAGUAAAUUGAAUCUAUUCAUAUAGAACUAUAAAAUCCAAGACUGCAGCCAGUAACUUGGAUCGCAAUAUGUGGAAAGUAUUAGUCUUAAUUUGUAACGACAGAAUAAUUAACAUGACUAACUGGGUUUCUUCCAUUUUCUAACUAGGGGGACUUGACUGAUGAGUCUACUGGAUUAAUCAGUAGCGGUACUUUGCCCAACAGAUUUGAUGGCAUGACCACAGGGUGACAAAGAAAAUUAUUCCCUGCCUAUCAAAAGAGACUUCUAAAACAUAUCUGCUAGAACAGUUCCUAUACUUUUUGUAUAAUUUGGUCAUGCUGCAAAUUUACUUUUGUAGUUGCUCCAUAUUUAGUUCUUUGACAGCCUCACCUGCUUGAAAAGUCUAUUCAAAUCGGCUAAAUAUAAUGAACUAAAUUAAUAGCCAUGAAAUGUUGUCACUCAUACUAAUGGCUAAUACCCUCUUUCAGUUGGUGGUUCAACAAUAAUGUCUCUCUAGGCUUGAGGGAGAGCUCACAAGUAAAUUACAUGAAUGUCCUGGAGCAAUUGGGAAUACACUUUUAUUUAGUCUACCUGACCAGGGACAUCUUUGAACUAUAGGUCACCUAACCCAAACUUUUCACUCUUGUUAGGUUGUCCUUUUCUCUUGUUUUAACCCGAAUGGGCUGAAAUAUCAACAUUUCAGGUAUUCUGUUUGGAUAAUGUGCAAAACUUGUGGCUUCACUAAUAAAAAAAAUUAACAAAUGUAUUUUUCUUAAUGUGGUUAAACUAUUUAAAGAUUUGUAUGCAAAAUAUUUGUGGUCAAUGAAACUCGGACAUUUUUUAAUUUGAUAAAACACAACUAUGGGUUAAAGGUAUUUGCUUUGGGCAUCUUUUGAUAUUUUUAGAAUCUAGCUCCAUUGCCGUUAGAAAUGGUGUCUCCCAGUACUGCAAAGUGCUUCCACAAGUUUAAAAAAUGGGCAGAAAAGGAACUGCCAACUAAAUCUAUUUAACAUGGGUAGAAAGUUUCCAUGGAAGCUCUUGGCUGCUGGUUCCCAACACAGCUCCACUGUUAGCCUGUGACCUUGCGUUUAACUUUUUUCAACUUUUGGUGACUUUCACAAAAGAAAUGAACUGGUUAAUACAAUAAACAAGACAUUUCAUGGUACCAUUUUGAACUGUUUGUGGAUAUUGCAUUAAAUCCAUAUGGUUGAAACUUUUCAAUAAUGCAUAUCAACGAAACAAUGGAAUGAAAUAAAUAGUUCAAGCAAUUUUAUGGGACUUGGCUGCUUUUACAUUAUUCAUUUUGGGGGUUAUUUCAGUCUCUCCAACCUGCAGGUCGUGCCAAGAAUCAUGUGAAUUGGAAUAUUCUAUAAAUGUCUUGAUAUCAUCAUUCGUCUCAACACUUCUGCUGCAGCCGCUGUUGUAGGCUAUUUAUUUCAGGUAGCCU